GUUACUGCCGGGCCUGCGGCGUGGGUAAUACGGAGGGGUCAAGGGGUAUCCGGAGUGACUGGGUUGAAAGGGUGCGUAGGCGGGCUGAUAAGUCAGUUGUGAAAGCUCCGAGCUUAACUUGGAAACUGCCAUUGAUACUGUUAGUCUUGAAUAGCGUAGAGGUAAGCGGAAUGUUGCAUGUAGCGGUGAAAUGCAUAGAUAUGUUACAGAACACCGAUUGCGAAGGCAGCUUGCUAUGCCAAUAUUGACGCUGAGGCACGAAAGCGUGGGUAGCGAACAGGAUUAGAUACUCUAGUAGUC
rnacentral:rRNA from 1 species